rnacentral:rRNA from 1 species
CCUACGGGUGACUGCAGUGGGGAAUAUUGGACAAUGGGGGAAACCCUGAUCCAGCGACGCCGCGUGAGUGAAGAAGUAUUUCGGUAUGUAAAGCUCUAUCAGCAGGGAAGAAAGAAAUGACGGUACCUGACUAAGAAGCCCCGACUAACUACGUGCCAGCAGCCGCGGUAAUACGUAGGGGGCAAGCGUUAUCCGGAUUUACUGGGUGAAAGGGGAGCGUAGACGGCGAUGCAAGUCUGAAGUGAAAGGCGGGGGCCCAACCCCCGGACUGCUUUGGAAACUGUAUGGCUGGAGUGCAGGAGAGGUAAGUGGAAUUCCUAGUGUAGCGGUGAAAUGCGUAGAUAUUAGGAGGAACACCAGUGGCGAAGGCGGCUUACUGGACUGUAACUGACGUUGAGGCUCGAAAGCGUGGGGAGCAAACAGGAUUAGAUACCCGUGUAGUC